CGCGGGAGGCCGAUUGCAAGUGACGACGAGCAAUCGGAACGCUGUGAAAGGUGGGGGGUGUCCAUCCCGAAGCAACUGAGCUUCUUCCUAUGUCUUAGUACUUUAUCAAUUUGUAUAAAGCAUAUUGUAUGUUGCUAUGCAUUAUAGGAUGACAAUACAUGCAUUCCUAAUCCUUAUAUGAUGUUUAUGAUCAAUAUAGUAUUAUGAUAUGGAUAUAUGAUGUAAUGGACAUAAGGAUUAUGAGAUGACAUUGGUAAACCUAUGAUGCUAAAUGAAAGAAGAACCUAGUGUUGUGUUUAAAGACAUAGUUUACAAGUGGCAUUGAACUCAUUGUGCUAAAAACACAUAUGACUUGAACUAGUAAUGGAUUGGUUGUUGUACUAGAAACUCUAGUUAACAUUGAUCAAGUUGCAUAUUGGGAUAUUGCAUUAUAGGGUACUAGUUGGCAAUUGUUACAUGUCAUGGCAUGCUAGUGGGAGUGUAGUGUUACUUGAUUAAUACUUGUACCUAGUAUGCAUGAGAUUGGGACUUAGUGUGGUGAAACCCUAUAAGGGCAUGAUUAAUGUGGAUUAAACUUUAGUUGAGUACAUUAAUCGAUCAAGUUGCAUAUUGUAUUUAUUGCAUAUAGGUGCUAGAUGAUUAUGGUUAUUGCUUAUAUUUGCAUGCUAGUAGCUAUACAUCUUGAUGAUUGAUCCAUGAUCUAGUAUGCAUGAGAACCUAGACCCUAUAUGUGAUGAUUAAUGUUUAUGUGAUUAAAGAACUAGUAUGACGAAACUAGUGUUAAAAAUGAGUCUAAAUGACGAGUGGCAUCUAGUUUAGAAAACUAUGACAAGUGGCAUCUAGUUAUAGAAAACUAUGAUGUGAGGCAUAUGAUUGUUGAUAACCUUGGCAUGAGAACAUUAGUGUAGUUGUGACACUAUGAGAUUGGGUACAAGAACACCUCGAUUCCAUGAUGAGAUUACCCUUAGAGGGUAGGUUGCUGAUGUUCGUGAGUUGAUCGUGCUCACAUAGCCUGUCUGCGCUUGGAGGGGUCGCUCCCCACAAGCUGUGCACUCCGGAGGUUGGUCACUAGAGGGACAGUCAGUGUGCUGUCUGGACGGUCUGUGUGCUGUCCGCAGGCGGUCUCGGGGAGUAGUUCAGUGAGACUUUCCCUAUGAGAUUUACACGUGAGAUAUGUUCGUGAACCCCGAGUUCACCAUGAGAUUUGGCUACCUAUUGAGUCAUACUCAUUAUUGUUGUUCAUGAUAGCUUGCUUCUAUAGUUGUUGUUGUUGUUCAUAGUAGCUUACUAGUGUGCAUAGUAGCUUACUUAUUGCUCAUGCAUUCAUGAUAUACUAUUCCUUCACCUAUGAGAUUUGAGUGGAGUAGCCCUGUACCUAGUAGGUCGAGAUGUGAGUCGGGCAAAGUGCGGGGUAGCCUUUGCCUAGGACUUUGAGAUGUGAGUCGGGCAAGGAGUGGGGUAGCUCUUUGCCUAGGACCUUCGAGAUUGAGUCAGACCUUGAGAUGUGAGUCGGGCAAGGAGCGGGGUAGCUCUUUGCCUAGGACCCUUGAAACAUGUGUGACAAGAGUGAGGUAUCCCUUCACCUACUAGAUUUGAGACCUUAGGCAAGUUAGCCUAGUGGAUUGUGUAAUGACAUGAACGGCACAAGCGAAUUUGCAAUCAUACUAUGUUUAGAUAUAGUACACUGCAUAGCUAUGUUGUAGUUGUAUUUACUUCAUUGUCAAAGCAUACUAGCAUGAUAAAUGAUGUGACAUGCAUUCCUUGCAUUUGAUGGCAUAGUAGAUAUAGUAGCAAUUUAUUUCCAUAUAUCUCUCUCUUCUAUCUAUCUGUGCCAGCUUGGACAUAGUGGGAAGAUCGGCGGAGUCGGCGGCCGAACCUACUGGGAACUAUAUUUAUAUAGUUCUCACCCCGUGUGAUUUUGGGGUACAGGUACAUACGAGAGCGGACCGGCAGAUGAUCGCGGCAAGGGCUUAGCGCCCUAGUGCUAGUUGAUAGUUUACUUUCCUAUUUUGCAUUAGAGUUACCCUAUACAUGUAUUGAGAGUAGAUGAUGUAUAGGGUGUGAGGUAUUUUGAGAUAAAUGUAAACUAAUGUUAUCUUUUGAAGAAUGUACGCUUAUAUUCAUAUUUUGGAAAAGAAUGCAAGGUGUAAUUAAAUGUAUCAAGUAGAAUGGUUGUAAUAGAAUAGUUAAGUAUCUCUCUUUUGUUUCACUCGUAUGUCUACUACUUGUGACGCUUGCUCUUGUAAUGUUCAGCACUGUUUGUGCUUUAGUUGUUGUAUGAUUGUGUAUGUAUUCAAGUAUUUUCCUGGGAACUUGUUGUACACAAUCUCG
rnacentral:lncRNA from 1 species